rnacentral:rRNA from 1 species
UACGUAGGGGGCAAGCGUUGUCCGGAAUCAUUGGGCGUAAAGGGUGUGUAGGCGGUUCGGUAAGUCGGCUGUGAAAGUCCAGGGCUCAACCCUGGGAUGCCGGUCGAUACUGCCGGACUAGAGUUCGGAAGAGGCGAGUGGAAUUCCCGGUGUAGCGGUGAAAUUCGUAGAUAUCGGGAGGAACACCGGUGGCGAAGGCGGCUACCUGGACAAUUGCUGACGCUCAGGCACGAAAGCGUGGGGAGCAAAAGGG